CCUCGCUGGUGCGGCACCCUCCGCCCUGGAGACACCCUGGGCUGCCGUGUGACACCCGGCGCUGUCCCGCUGCUGCGGUGCCCCGAUAACACCGAGCGAACGCCGGGAGGAGCCGGGCCGGUUCAGCCCCUGCGAUGCGCAGGCGCAAGUACCAAGUUCAACCAACGGUGAUGAGAGGAAGACCCGCCGCCUUCACCCCAAGACCACCUCAAAAGAGGAACCCACCCCCUAGCAACAGGACGGAGUCUGCGUAGAAAGGACUAAUGACGUCUAAAACGAGGAGGAGCCUACUGAAAAAGAGGAAAUGGCAAAAUAUACACGAGGCGGACUCUAAACUCGCCGACCGUCGGUGGAGCGGAGACUCCCCGGCCGCCCAGCGCUGCUUUGCUCAUUUGUCAUAAAUAAGUUUUAUCUAAAACGUGAAAGAUUUUUGGUCUCUUUGACUAUAACGAUUUUGGAUCCAGACCCUCUGUGCUGCGGGACUCCAUCUCCAGACGGUCCUGGAGAGGGCCUCCUGAGGUACACAUUCUGGAUAUCCGACCGAGAUCUAAGGCGAAUGAGCAAAGGAAUACACUGCAGUUCCCCGUAAGAUCCGAACGACGACUCAGGAGUGAAUACAGCAAUCCGUACUGCCAAGAGAGGCUGGACUCAUGCAACCCGGGUCAAGGGACCAGUAGAACUGCCUCCCACAGAAUGGGCUGUAACAUCUGAACUGGGAGAUCUCCGAAUGAAGAUAAAGAGGACAAGGCCAGCGGAUCAAUCAUCCCAGAAGGGAAGUAAGAAAUAGUUUAUAUCAAUGGUUCCAAAUACCUCCUGGAAACACUUUACGAGAGGUACAUUUUGCACCUUGGAGUAGAGAAAGGAUACCUAAUCAAACAGGAGGGGCUGGACUAUACAAGUUGACAGGAACACCUCACGUCUUCCCUUUGUGUUGUGAAAUAGAAACAGAAGUAUCUGAGACCCCCAGAAUAGAAAACAUCUGGGGGAUACCUUGCAUAAAACACCCUACUUCUGGACAUUUAGGUUGGGUUGUUUGCAAAUUUAUUACAGUGUAAUAAAGAGUGGUCCUGUGUUUCAGUUAAAAGACAACCUUACUGUGUGCAAUGCCGAGAUAACCCGAUACCUGCUAGGGGACAACGGGCUGAAACAGAAAUCUGUAAAUUGUUUUGUCAAUACCACCGGGACAAACUGGAAACUAAAUUACAAUUUGCAAAAAUGAGUAAAGUUCCAGUGAUCAUAAGUUUAAUAUAUAUAACACACGCAAUUGGAAGCGAAACACAGCAGCCUUUUGAAUGGACCCUUGCCAGGUGGAGCGAUCAAAAAGUAAUUGGGCGAAAUCUUACAGCAGGACCUCCUAGCUUCUCUGUUACACUGUGCCAAAUGGUACCUCUACAACGUUGCUUAAACCAGAAGCCUUAUUAUUUGUGUCCUGCAUCUAAUCCAGGAAAGGGGUAUUGUAACUCUCGUAAUCAAUAUUAUUGUGCAUAUUGGAAGUGUGUCACUAUUGCUUCUGCCUGGGUCCCUACUGUCCGAGAUAAAUACCUAACAACGACAUGGGGACCACCAGGCUGCAAGCAUCCACAAGUAGAUUUGUCUGGGGGAUCCAUAGGAUAUAGUAAUUGUACUCAUAUAAUCCUCCAGGUAAUGCAACCAGAAGACCCAGGAUGGCUGAUAGGAAAGACUUGGGGAGUCAGAUACUGGGAACCUGGAACAGAUAGAGGGGGUUUAAUUUUGAUUAGAAAAGGAAAACCUCAAUAAGAACCCUAGCAGGUGGGACCAAAUAAUAUUUACAAAUAUUUAACGAAAGCAAGGAAUUUUGUAUACAGAUAACGGUAAUACCCCGAAUCCUUUACCAUUCAAAAGAAUCGGUCCUUGAACAUUGGGAUGGUAAUAAACACAGAAUACAAAAAUGAGAACCACUUACUGCCAUAACUAUUGCCAUGCUCCUUGGUCUGGGAACAGCAGGGGCAGCAACUGGAAUUACAUCCCUCGUCCAACAAAAUAAAGGCAAAGACAGGUAAUUUGCUGAUCAAAUAAAAUUUGUAAUGUUGUAGUCCACGAUUCACUUAGAUUGCAAAAUGUCAAACUGCAAUAUUAUGUUACCAUGGCAAGCUAUAUAUCCUGUUAUGUUAGCUAUAAACCUUAAAUGUACUUAUAAGGAGGAAAUGCAUAGAGUUACAGAAGAAGGACAAAAGGUACAGGCGCAAGUACCAAGUUCAACCAACGGUAAUGAGAAGAAGACCUGCCGCCUUCAUCCCAAGACCACCUCAAAAGAAGAACCCACCCCCUAGCAACAGGACGGAGUCUGCGUAGAAAGGACUAAUGACGUCUAAAACAAGGAGGAGCCUUCUGAAAAGGAGGAAAUGGCAAAAUAUAUAUGAGGCGGACUCUAACUCUCUAAACUCGCGGACCGUUGGUGGAGCGGAGACUCCCCGGCCGGCCAGCGCUGCUUUGCUCAUUUGUCAUAAAUAAAUUUUAUCUAAAAUGUGAAA